UCACACACUCAGUUAUACUGUGGAUUUUCCCUCUUGUGAAUUGGCCUCUGAGCAUUUAUGCCUGUGUGGUAUAUAUUGUGGAAUAUAUGCGUGGGUUUGGACUUGACACCGUGUUAAAGGAGACUGGCAAGAUGGGUGUAUCACUGGAAAGAGUACAGAAUAAAUUUGCUUGUAUAAUUGGAGAAUUGUGUAAUGAGCCAUUUGUAUUAUCCCAAUUUGCUGUAUGGCUUGAUAUGCGCCUUGCAGAGUACAAAGCUAAAGGAUCCAUAUGUUUGGAAUGCUGUGGGGACAUUCCCAAUCCCUCAUGGUUGAAAGGCUUGCCCCUGCAGGAGACCCACGAUCUGCAGACUGAAAGUAGCUGGCCUCCCACAGAUGACACAGGACAGGCCUUUAGAGGUCCUAGUGGAUCAGCACAUACUUCUUCCAGGAGGAUUCCGAGCAAACAUCAAAAUCAGACAUUCCGUUCAUCAAACCAACAAUCCAGUGACAUUUCCCAUCAUCGACUGGACAGCCAUGUGUCAAUGUCCCACCAUUCCUCACCAGCUCAAUCAUUACCCUCAUCUCCCAUUACAAACAGACCCCUGCCGGUUGAUAGCUUGCAGACUGAUAUGGGAUUGCCUUCAGAUAUUGUUGUGAAACAGGAAGUGUUUGAUGACAGCUCUGCAGAACCUGUUGUCCCAGUAAGCAUGCAUACCCACGAAGAAAUCCAGUCAGAAUUGCGAAAAAGAACUUCUGAUUCUAUUUCUGAUGUAUCAUCAUCUAGAAAAGUGCAAAAAGUCUUUCAUAGUUCAUCAGACGUUGCUCCCAUCAAUGAAUCCCUCAGCUCAAUAAUUUCCUUCAACCAGGAGGGGGCUAAACUUGAUUCUCAGGGCAGUGUGGACAGUGUGGUGGGUGUGAGUGUAGAACAGUAUAACCAGAGCAUGGAUGAUGAUGACAUAGAGAUCCUGGAGGAGUCUUUCAUGCAGCAGGGUGCAGGUACAGACUUGGCUGUAGGAAUAGCCAACAGCAGUGAUUCAGACACAUCAAGGUUUUCCCAGGGAGACAGCUUGUACUUAGGAGAGAGCAGUCAGCAAGGCAACAACAGCACUGUUGACAAUCCUAUUCACUGGCCUAGGCUUUCUACGGGCCCAGGUUUCGCUCUAUCCAGUUAUCAGUCUACCAGAAGAAGAGCUUGGAACGCAAAACCAAUCAAACCCUUUUCGACCAUAAGAAAAACCUGCUGUGCUGUGUCGAUCUUCCAUCAGUGGCUGCGAGAGCAUUCCAACGACUCCCGAUCUGUAGAGGAAAUACCGCCUAGAGAAUUGAAUGAUUACCUUGUUGCGUUUUUAACCACUGUCAAAAAGAAAAAUGGCUUCCCAUAUUUUGCCAAGUCUUUGAAAUGUGUUCGUGACAGCAUCGACCGGCACCUUAAAGAUCAAAAUUAUCCCUGCUCUAUAACAACUUCAUUGGAGUUUUCAACCAGCCAAAUCGCCUAUCUAGUUGGCAGUAUGGGCCCUAACCAAGACGUGAACUCGUACCUUGCUGAAGCAACUAGAGAAACAUGUGUACGGCCGAGCGCCCGUGGCACAAGCAGGAAGGCUGUAUCGGCUGUGACGGCCUUCUGCGGCUGGCUGCAAAAAACCUCUGGCGAUCUAAGAAGUAUCGAGACUAUACCCGCCAAUGAACUGGACUCCUACCUGUGUACAUACUUCUCUACCAUCAAAAAGAAAGAUGGUUCGCCAUACCUGCCGAGCUCGUUAGAAUCGCUCCGGGAUGGAAUCAACCGCCAUCUCAAGGAACAUGGAUACCCAUUUUCAAUAUCCAUGUCGGUUGAGUUCACAAGAAGUCAGUUGGCUUAUCGACAACAUAUCCACCGCCUUCAUGAUUUGAAACGGCAACAGCAGUCAGCAGCGCGUGAAUUGUUUACUUAGUCAUAAAUAAGUAUCCAAAUACAGGUUCGUUGUUCAGAGUGUGUAUUGAGAUAUUCACUGUGUGAUAAGCGUUCAUGUAUAGAGAAUGCUGAUGUUCUGAAUACGAUCAUUAGUACUGUCGUGCGUCUGGUAAACGUGGAUCGUCAUUGUAAAAACCUAAACUGGAGAGGAAACCAUCUGAAGUGUAUUUCUGAUUAGUGCUUUGGGUAUUUUGUUGGUAAGGGUCUGGAUCACAAUAUAAUGUUAUUUUGUAUUGUGUCCCGUCGAAAAAAUGUUUUUUUGUAUUUCAUUUUGUCCAGCAGUAUAUACAGCAGUGUAUUGUUGGGCUGUAGAAUUUGAAGUUCGCUUUCCGGUUAAGAUGGACACGGAUCGUAUGGAUGUUUUACAUGUACGGUAUCCAUGCCUGAAUAAAAGUUGAUACUGUCCAUUUCCGUCGUGACUUGUGUUUGCGUGUAUAUUGACGCAAGAUUUGGGAUAUGUAGACCCAUAAUAAAGUUCCAAUAACCAUUUUGUAGUUUUAUUUAUCAGUUUAGGAAGCCAACUUUUCACAAAUUUUCCGUUUUUAUUUCAUUUAUAGCGAAAAUAUCAUGGAAUGCUACGUGGAGAAGACCCUGGAAUUUCCAAGCCGUCAAGCCUGGGUCGACUAUAAGCAAAACUGUCUCAGCUGUGUCGGUUUUCAACAAGUGGCUGGCUAAGACUUCAAAUGAUUUUAGGACUGUUGAAACCAUACCUCCAUCAGAAUUAGACGCUCUCCUGGUGACUUUUUUCUUAACAAUUAAGAAGAAAAAUGGGACUCCUUAUUACCCGAAAUCAUUGAAAGCAUUGCGUGAGGGCAUUGACCGACAUCUGAAAGAAAAGGGCUAUCAGUACAUGAUAACAACCUCUCCGCUAUUCAGACAAAGUCAAGUGACAUACAGGAAACAGUUCCAGUAUUUACGCUAUCUGCAGCUGCAGGGAAGAGGAAACCAGGAACAAGCCUUGGCACCCUCUGCCUCAGCCACUUGAUCUUAUUGCCGAUUGAGAUCUUUGAACAAACCAAUUUACUGGACUGAUAGCAUGGCACUAUAUUGCCUAUCUGACGAAGAGCAAUGUGUAGUAAGAGUGAACCAAGACUCUCCAUAUGAUGUUGUGAUGUUCAAAAGAACUAUACCACCAGUGUACAUCUUUCCCAGGCAGGAUUCAUAACAACACAUGUCCUAUCUGUGCGAAAACUUUUUCUCGUGCCUAUCAUCUUAAGCGACAUAUGGCAAGUCACUCUAGUUCGGCAUAUGCUUUCGCCUGUUCUGUAUGCCAAAAGAGGUUUAAUCGUCGGGACAGUCUUCUCCGGCACGUCAAAAAGUGUAACCCAAGCCCUGUCGGCGAAACAUUUUUUAAUAACUGCUGAUGUGCCCACGUAUUCAGCCAAUCAGUAAUGCGUGGGGCCAUUUUGGUCGAACUCGUAUGCAGACAUUUUGCCCAAAAUCUAUACAUUAUGAUGUCAUAUCCUGACUCGCAUGCAGAUUGCAGAUUUACGUACUUACAUACGAACGAAAUUCCCUGAAUAUGAUCGCUUCAUAAAGUACGUGGACCGUUUGUUCGUCAACAUGAACACUUGGUUGUUAUCAAAUGUGUAUCUCCAUACAAACUCGCCUUAAAACGAGCAUAUUCAGUGUUCACUGAUGCUGUUGGUGUAUGCUUUUAACUGAUGGUGCAGGCGAUGUCACUGUUUGAAAACAAAACAGCAAAUAUUUAAGAUGUCUUACAUAUUGCUGGCGAAAAGGGAAAGUAUAUAUGUGGAAAAGGACAUGUCAUUUGUUAAGAACUGACAAAUUUGCUUUUUGAUAACUAACGUGCAUAGUAUAAUGAUAAUAUAUGGGGUGUGAUACAGCGUGAUUAAUGUGUGUUAGUCUGCGCGGUGGUGUACUCUUAUGUUUAUACAAACGAAUAGUUUGAUUAAUUUUGAAAUUAUGGUACAUUUGAAUAUGUGUGUUUUUGUUUGUUUGUUUCAUUCUUUCAUACAUUUUAAGCAGAGUUAUAUAAUAAAAUUUGCGAUUAGAGAAAUUCAGUUUCACAGAUGCUUUAAAAAUUUGGAGGAGAUUUUUUUUCACCGGUGAGUAGCACCAUGUUAAAUGUGCUAAAGAAUGCAAGAAGAGGCCUACUUCACUGGUACGAUGGCAGUCACGUUUAUGAGUGCAUGGAGGGAAUUGUGCAAGGUCUGGAGCAACUUGCUGUCCCUGAUAAAGCCGCAGCGAAUUGCCCCCCUUGAGGUCACUCUCCCAUUUAAAUGAUACGGUUUUUAUGAGCAAGCUGUGGUUAUGUAGGACCUCUGAAAAUGGCUAAUGUCGAGUUUGAAAGUUAAAGUGGCGUGAAGUGAUUGGAGACCAACCUUCAAGGCAGAUUUUGAUUUUGUAAAGUGAUUUGCUUGGAAAGAAUAAAUGUUAAAUAUUUUUAAGCCUUU